rnacentral:rRNA from 1 species
AUACGGAGGGGGCUAGCGUUGUUCGGAUUUACUGGGCGUAAAGCGCGCGUAGGCGGUAUAUCAAGUUAGGCGUGAAAGCCCCGGGCUCAACCCGGGAACUGCGCUUAUUACUGAUAAACUAGAGUCCGGGAGAGGAUGGCGGAAUUCCCAGUGUAGAGGUGAAAUUCGUAGAUAUUGGGAAGAACACCAGUGGCGAAGGCGGCCAUCUGGUCCGGUACUGACGCUGAGGUGCGAAAGCGUGGGGAGCAAACAGGAUUAGAAACCCCAGUAGUCC